AAGUCGUAACAAGGUUUCCGUAGGUGAACCUGCGGAAGGAUCAUUAUCGUAACAAAAUGUGUUGAGGCAUGCAACGGCUGUCGCUGACCAAAAGUCGUGCACGCCAGGGUGUGUCCUCUCACAUAAAAUCCAUCUCACCCCUUUUUGUGCACCACCGCGUGGGCACCCUUCGGGAUCGAACAGAUCCAGGAGGGGGCUUGCGUUUUCACACAAACCCCCUUUUUAAAAGUGUAGAAUGACCCCACUUUUGCGAUAACACGCAGUCAAUACAA
rnacentral:misc_RNA from 1 species